GCCGCGGGCGCGUGCCAGGCGCGCGGCGCCCCCUCGGGCACCGCCGGCCCCUGUGGCCGUUACCCUCCGCUCCCGCUGCGCCCGCUCAGAGCCUGGGGCCGCUGCCACCGCAAAACGCGUCGCUCCAGCCCAUCUCCCUCGACACGCUCGCGCCACGGUGCCCCCGGCUAUCGGCAACCGCCCGGUGCCCCGCGGCGCCCUCGCACCUUCCCGCCCCGCGGCCGCCAUUUCCCGCCCGCCCAGAUCGCGACCUCCCGGCCCUGCCCGGCCCGGCCGACUGCGGAGCCUCCUGUCAGGCGCUGCCGCUACACCCCACAACGUCCCUCAAAGCUUGCGCUCCCCGCGGAAGUGACUGAGUGAAAGGCGCGUCCUCGGGAGCCCAACCCGAACCAGUUCUUCUAAACCUACUGUGAUGAUUGCCUAGCUCGUUUGGGGCAGAUACCUCAGAAGCAAUUAGAUCACAGCUCCUGUCUGGAACAGCAUGUGAAUGGGAUUUCAGUUUCCUGAAGCUAAAGGUAUGGCUAAUUGCUUAGCUGGAGACUGUCUGCAUCAGAAACUCAGAGUCAGCAGUAUUUACAAUAAAAAGUACAUUGAAAGAGAGUGGAAGAUAUAUGAUGGUUGUGCAGGGAGUUUCUGUGAUCAUGUGCUUAAACUGGCCGCUUCACACACACAAUGCUGAAGAUGCAAAUUAGUAGAUCAGUGCACGUUCAUGCUGAGCUAAGUUAAAUCAAUAUUAAAAGACCACACGAUAUGUAUUAAACGUACAGAACUUUGGUUAAAAUAAUAUUCACAAAUCAUUUUUAGAAAAGUUAUAAACACACAUUAAGUGCAAAACUGACUUCAAACAGCUUCUAUGUGUAUAACCAUGACAUGGUUGUAAGUCUCAUUACUUUGAAACUACCAGAGUGGGAAAAAGAUAUUCAUUAGACUUCCCCAAAGCAGGUAGUUGUCCCUUUGUGAUCAUAUCUUUUCCCAGUCCUCAAAACAGCAGUAAUGGUACCUCAUCUGCUACUGCCUAUUUUCAUUUCCAAACUGACAUUUUGGAGUUGCAUCACACAGUGGUCAUGGCAAUAUACAUUUGCAGAGAAAAUAAAAGACAUUUUCCUGAAGGCUUCUUUUAGAUAAAGCUUUUCCCUGCCCAAAUCCAUUAAAAUCUGGAAAAAGAAGUGACUAUUUGAACUUCCCAUCAUUUCUUCAUAAAUGUUGCUUAGUACUGAAAAACUGAGGUAAUAAAACCUCAAAAAUAGGUGCAGAUAGAAGGCAGUUAAAUGUGUACAGAAAGAAGAAAAAUUUACCUGGUUAUUCCUUUAAUUCCUUCAGACCCUAUUUCUAGCAAUUUUACUCACAAUGAACACUCUUUACUCCAAAAAGUAGUUUCAUUUAUGUUAGGCAGUCAAUCAGUGUAAACAGGGUUAAUAUACAGGAUACCAGAAUAGAUUAUUAGGGCUGAUGUAGUGAUGAUCCCUUUAAUUGCUGAAUUGUGGCUGCAUUUUUCGCUGUUUUCAAACACAGGAAUCUCCUGCCAAGCAAUCUCAGUAAUCUGGAUACAUCAUCAAUUGUUUCCCAUUGACUGUGGUUCUUUAAAUCUGUGAAUCAACUCAAAAUUGUAGAGUUUAAAUUCUCCACCAACUGCUAAUUAAUAUCUAUCCUAAGUAUCUAAUAAUUUUGGAGUAUUAUUAAAAUAGAUGCUGUCUAUGCGUUUUCCCUCCUCUUUUUCUACCCUUUCUCACUAGGCAAAAUUCUUGUUCAGCUUACAUGCAUUUGACAUUACUGACUGUACAAGACAAUGAGGGAUAAAAUAAUGCAGAUAAUCGCAUAGCCAAAUCUCAACAGAAAAAUGUGUCCCAGCUAAGCACACAUGGACUAAUCAACUUUUUGUUAGCAUAGAAAUGGUCUCGGAAACAUUAAACGACUAUUUUUCCAUUUUCCCCACCCCUCAUUCCUCUCUAGUCUUUGUGGCUCUUUGUUAAAAUCAGUCCUCCAAUUGCAUUCACAACAGCAGGUACAAUUUGCAUUUCAGUAUGCAUGCAACUUUGAUGCUUAGUUAUCAUAAAGAGCUGAUUUCUUCCACUUUGUACUGUGAACACUGCUUCAGGCUCAUAAAGAGGCUUUAUUGUAGUAAUGAAAUGUUCUUGUAUAGUACAGUCUCUCCUAGGUUUUGUCUGUCCUAGGAGUUCAUGCAGAAACUUACCCUUAAUUCUGACAGUGGUGAAGCCAGUUGCAGAAUUGGUCAUUUUCAUUUAUACUGAUUCUGGACUGGGUUAAAUAACUGUGCUCAAAACCCCAGUGGACAUUUGACUUCUGGCUCACCCUGAACAUUAGUCUUGAAUGGAAAUAGUGCACGAAGCUGUGAAGCAGACACAAAAAUGAAACUUUUCUAAACUGCCUGAGAGAAAUGUCUCAAAAUGCUCCCUGAGAAGGUUUUCAAGCUCUACUGUUGAGAUUAUUGCCUGAGCUGAAUAAAGCAGUUGUUCAUAAUCAAGAAAAUGCUAGAAAGUUAAAGACCUUCUAAACAUGAAAACUAGAGGAUGGACUACAGUGAAUUAUAUUUCAGAUAGUAAAUAGUUGUAUGACAUUUUAUCUCCAUAAAAUAUAUCCUCAACUCACAUUAAUUUCAUCUGACUACAACUUUUGGGUGUGUCUGCGAAUGUGAAGGAUAUGCGUCUGCAGAUACGCUAUCUGUCCUGAUGCCACAAGGCUUUGUACGGAAAAAAAGAGUGGAAAGAUUGGGUCUGAAACCAGAAUAAAUUGGAUUUGUAUGAGACUGAUUCUCAUAAGUCAAAAAAGGAUCCUGAAAACAAGAUUUGCUAUACAGAUGUUCUGGAUAACAGAAAUUCUUUUUCUGUCCUCCUGCACUGAAAUCUGUGGAAAAAAGACAGCAUGGCUCUUUCUUGGAACAGCUACUUCUAAAUAGAAGGAUGCCAGGUCUUCACUGAAGAGGCAGAAGAGUCCCAAACCCUUCAAGGAGAGGAAGAAAUCAUCUCCAUGGUGACUGUCUAAAUUCCCCCUGUGCAGCAAGAAUCAUCUGGAAACUUUGGUUUCCCCCAAACCUCGAAAAACACAUCUUUCUUGCUUCUCUUUUUUGCUCCUAGUUCACACAUAAUUUUCUUGAUGGAGAGGAAUAUGUAAACUCUAGAUAUUAUAAAACAAUCUCAUACUAAUGAGGAAAUGGAGUCGGCUAACAGAUCUUUCCUUCACUAAAGGUUAUAGUUUUGUGCUUUCCAUAGUGAUUAUGAGAGAGCUAAUUUAUGAAUGAAUGGCUGAGCCACAAGUGAAUUAAUGUACCACAGUAAGGGAGCGCGAUAUGCAGAGGAGAGGGUGGAGGAAGAAAAUGGAGUUCAGCAUAUCAUUUCUUUCUCAUAAGAACUGAUGCUCAGCUUAGAGAGGAAAACCACACUAAUGAUGCAGCUGAUAUCUUAUUAGAAAACAUCUGAACUGUGACCAAUUUUUCUUGACAAGAAUUUUUAUUCUGUAUAAAAGUAAGAUGCUUAGUCACUUGGAAAAUACGGGCUAAAUCAGUGAUGUAAUUUCAUUCAGUGGUGGAAUUUCAAAGAGUUUUUUCCUUUUUUAAUCUCUUGAACCAGCCCAUUAAUAAGCGUCUUUUUCAUCAACAUCAAAAGAGAGUGAGAGCACAGCGCCUAGAGGAUAAACAAGGAAAUAAAACCUUUUUUUACUGUUUUGAAA